CCCUUAGAUGUUCUGGGCGACCCGCGCACUACAUUGGCACUAGCAAAGAGAUCCUAGAUUGAAUUCUUUGGGGUAUUCUUCUAAAUGGUGUCGUGACUGGGAUAAAUCCUUGUAAUUAUUGGUUUUGAACGAGGAAUUCCUUGUAAUCGCGGUUUAUCAGCUCGCGCUGAAUGCGUCCCUGCCCUUUGUACACACCGCCCGUCGCUCCUACCGAUGGAUCGUCCGGUGAAGCUCACGGAGUGACUGUUCACGCAACGGUUUACGAAGUGAAAUGGACCUCACGAUUUAGAGGAAGGAGAAGUCGUAACA
rnacentral:rRNA from 1 species